AGGCAGAUAUACGAAGAGCAAGGUGAACAAUGGUACAUAAGCAAAAAUGUGAAGACGGUAAUGUGGAUACGGUUGAAGUAGCGUCGAAACACGUGUACGUCCACGGAACAGCGUGCAACUACGUAGUCACGCUAAUGAAGAUACUGAAAGACUGCAAGAGAGGUUCAUGGAGGACUCCUGGAGGGAGGGAAAAUUGGAAGAGGAGGAGUAGACUCGACAGUGGGUGUGCAAAAGAUGGCAAUCUCCGCGCUCAUUGAACGCAGCCUGGAGGUGUUUAAUGAGAACAGCCACCUCGCUACAUGGUACGGUCGACCUAUAUCACCGGCCACAGACGACGUCGUCAACGACGGCAAACGACGACCACGACGACCACGACGAGGAUCGCGACUGUCUGCCAUUGGGAAACCUGUCUACGAAGCUGCAUCUGUGUCUGGCUGACUGGCUGGCCCCGUUUCUCCGACUUUCAACGAUUCCUCAAUGGUUUCGCGAACAAUGGAAAUUCGAAUCCGGCGAGCUGGUCAAACGGUAACAUCGAUGCAUCUCUGAGUAACCCAUCAGCGGCGCACCGCGAGCCACGUCUACCAUCCACGUGACAAUGCAAAAAGGCCAACUUUUCCAUGGAUAAUCCAACGAGCAGACGAUCAGGAAGUUGUCUUGCCAGAAGCUCGUGUACGCGUUCAGGAAGUCAUAAAUCGAGCGUGUUGCAUUAAAUCUCGUCUACGUUGGUCCGCGAGCAGCGUAGUAAAGAGCUUACUGCGCCGUAAACGCGUAAUGCCAUUAAAAGGAUCGCAUUGAAGCGAUGAGGACGGACGAGGAUUCAACUUCUGAUCUACGGGGACGCUCCUCCGGAAGAUCUCCAAGAUGAAGAGGCGGGGGUGGAGGGAAAAAACCGGAUGAAUUCGACACCGACGAGUAAAAAGACGGAGAGAAAGCCGGGAGAGAGAGAGAGAGAGAGAGAGAGAAGAAAGGAUACGUGGGUUUACGGCAAUAAAAACGCCUACAAAGGAUCUUUUCAGAUGAGUAUAGGGAAACAGAGAGCAGAGAAUAAAGAGGAGAGGGCGGAGGAAUGGGAUAGAUGAACGAGAAGAGCAAGGGGUGGGGACUGGAAAAUGACAGCUCCAGCAAUUGCGUGUAAUUGCACCACGUCUUGCACAAAGGAGCCAUAAGCCUCCCCCGGAAGUUUCCUGCGCGACAGGUUGUCCUUCGUGCUAGUCCAAAGAGGAGAAUCUCAUCAGAGAUGCACGUCGACUUGCCACUCUGGUGAUUAGCCUGUAUGCUAGCGUUUAGGGAGCAGGAUUCUGCCUAGACUUCGCGAGAUCGCCUGAUGCCUUUGAAACUUAAUGUAUUGCCUGAGAAAUGACAUCCAGGAAUAUUUCCAAUUGUGCGUCGCGUCAUGUACUGGUAACGAGAACCUCUGUUCAGAAUAUGAACGCUCGCGCGGAUGUGAAUCGAUAGAGAGAUUGAUAACUUCUCAGGGGAACGGUUGUGCAUUGUUACGAAUGUAUUCGCUGUAUCGAUAGAAUAUUAUUUCAGACAGUGUCUGCAGGAACAAAUCAUUUUGUAUUACCAUUCAGAAUAGCUGCAAUGUAUCC
rnacentral:misc_RNA from 1 species